GACGAACGCUGGCGGCGUGCUUAACACAUGCAAGUCGAGCGGAAAGGCCCUUUCGGGGGUACUCGAGCGGCGAACGGGUGAGUAACACGUGAGUAACCUGCCUUCAGCUUUGGGAUAACCCUCGGAAACGGGGGCUAAUACCGGAUAUUCAUUCUGGCCGGCAUCGGUUGGGGUGGAAAGUUUUUCGGCUGGGGAUGGGCUCGCGGCCUAUCAGCUUGUUGGUGGGGUAAUGGCCUACCAAGGCGGCGACGGGUAGCCGGCCUGAGAGGGCGACCGGCCACACUGGGACUGAGACACGGCCCAGACUCCUACGGGAGGCAGCAGUGGGGAAUAUUGCACAAUGGGCGGAAGCCUGAUGCAGCGACGCCGCGUGAGGGAUGACGGCCUUCGGGUUGUAAACCUCUUUCGACCCUGACGAAGCGUGAGUGACGGUAGGGGGAGAAGAAGCACCGGCCAACUACGUGCCAGCAGCCGCAGUAACAC
rnacentral:rRNA from 1 species